CCUGCCUCAGCCUCCUGAGUAGCUGGGAUCACAGACGCCUGCCAUCAUGCCUGGCUAAUUUUUGUAUUUUUAGUAGAGAUGGGGUUUCGCCAUGUUGGUCAGGCUGGUCUCGAACUCCUGACCUCAAGUGAUCCACCUGCCUCGGCCUCCCAAAGUGCUGGAAUUACAGGCAUGAACCACUGCACCUGGCCUCUAUUACCUUUAAAAGUGCUCCUUGAAGAGAAAAUCCACUCUGCCGUUUCAAGCUUGACUUCCCUCCCCAGUCUUAGAGACUGAUCACUGGGGCAGAGUGACAUUUUCCCACAAUGCUGGCUCAUUAUUUUCCUCCUGGAAUUGCAAAUCCAAGGGACAAGUGGUACAGCCUGCACCCAUCCAGAAGGGGAGGGAAUCCCACCAGAGGUGCCCUGAAACAAAGAAAACAAGUAACUUCAAAACCACAUCCUAAAAUCUGGACCUGUGACAGGACAGAUGGAACUCUGGAUUGUUUGAUUCUAUCAGCAGAACAGAGGAAGGAAAUGUUUUAAAACGAGAUUAUGUUAUUUUCCCCAGUUAUUAUGAAGCCUUCCUGAAAUGAACUUUAAAUAUCGGCCACCACUUUCAUGAGGCUGAAUGGGAUUCAGCAAUUAGGAGCGUUGCAGGGAAGUGUGGCAGGGCAGAGGUGGGACAAAUUGCAGAUCCCUGUGGGGUCCCUUGGUUAGGUGACAAUUAGUCUAUAAAACACAGCUGUGUGUGUUAGGGAGGGAGUGGUGUCUUUAAAAAGCUCUGUGCCCAAUAGGAACAUUAAUUAAAGGGUCUUUUUUCAAAGGACAUUAAUAAUAAUGAAUAAAAAGCCUUCUGCGA
rnacentral:lncRNA from 10 species